GUCCGUCCGUCCGUCUGUCCAGCGUAAACAUGUCGCACCGUAACUUGAGAACGACUUAUCCAAAUUUCAUGAAACUUAACAUAGUUGUUUUUUAUGAUGGUCAAAUGAUCUGUAUACUUUUUGGGGAAAAUAAGAUUAAAACUUUUUGAUUUACGGCACUUUGUAACUAAAACAGGGGUGUGUUUUUUUCACAUGUCGCACCGUAUCUCAAAAACGAUUCUUGAUUAUGGCUUAAAACUUUAAACACUUCUUAGUUAUAUUAAUCUUAAUAUCUGUAUACUUUUUGGUGAUGAUUCAAAAUUUUAUUUUUGAGUUAUUGAGUAUUUUGUAAAAAAGGGGGAGGGUUUUUUUACAUGUCGCACCAUAUCUCAAAAACGAUUUAUGAUUAUUGCUUAAAACUUUACACAUGUCUUUGUUAUAUUAAUCUGAAGAUCUGUAUACUUUUUGGUGAUGAUUCAAAAUUUCAUUUUUGAGUUAUUGAGUAUUUUGUAAAAAAAGGGGAGGGUUUUUUUUACAUGUUGUGCCGUAUCUCAAAGACAAUUUAUGAUUAUUGCUUAAAACUUUACACACUUCUUUGUUAUAUUAAUCUAAAGAUCUGUAUACUUUUUGGUGAUGAUUCAAAACUUUAUUUU
rnacentral:lncRNA from 1 species